UCACAAUGGCGCGCUAAUUUUUUAAAUUCAAUGACAUUGUGCCAAAUCUGAAAUAGAAUUUUGUACUUGAACGUACUUGAAUAAACAACAAGCGCAAUUAACCGACGAUGGGAAAAGGGCCUAAAGGCGGAAAAGGAGCCCCACCAAGUGGCCAAAGUGACCAAAAAAAGGGGACGCAAACUACUAAAGCAGCCGAUCAAAAGACCGCAAGUACCCAAAGUACCCAAAAAGGGGGCAAAAAAGGUGGCAAAAAAUAAAAUUUAUUAUUUAUUCAAUUUUGUGUAUUUUCACGUCUUUGUAAUGCAAUAAAAGUAAGAAAUAAUUGUUAAA